rnacentral:rRNA from 1 species
AAGGGGAGCAAUCCCUGAGUAAAGUGGCGCACGGGUGAGUAACACGUGAAUGAUCUACCUCCGAGUGGGGAAUAACUGAGAGAAAUCUUAGCUGAAUACCGCAUAACACUUACGAGUCAAAGCAGCAAUGCGCUUGGAGAGGAGUUCGCGGCGAUUAGCUAGUUGGCGGGGUAAUGGCCCACCAAGGCGAUGAUCGGUAUCCGGCCUGAGAGGGCGCACGGACACACUGGAACUGAAACACGGUCCAGACUCCUACGGGAGGCAGCAGUGGGGAAUUUUGCGCAAUGGGGGAAACCCUGACGCAGCAACGCCGCGUGGAGGAUGAAGCCCCUUGGGGUGUAAACUCCUUUCGAUCGGGAAGAUGAUGACGGUACCGAUAUAAGAAGCCCCGGCUAACUUCGUGCCAGCAGCCGCGGUAAUACGAGGGGGGCAAGCGUUGUUCGGAAUUAUUGGGCGUAAAGCGCUUGUAGGCGGCUUAUCAAGUCUCGUGUGAAAUCCCCAGGCUUAACCUGGGAAGUGCGCGGGAAACUGAAGAGCUUGAAUGCCGGAGAGGGUCGCGGAAUUCCCGGUGUAAGGUGAACAUUCGUAGAUAUCGGGGAGGGAACAACCAAGUGGGCGAAAGGGCGGGACCUGGGACGGACAUUGACGCUGAGACGCGGAAAGCGGUGGGGACGCAAACAGGAUUAGGAUACCCUGGGUAGUCCCACGCUGUA